AUUGAACGCUGGCGGCAUGCCUUACACAUGCAAGUCGAACGGCAGCACGGGUGCUUGCACCUGGUGGCGAGUGGCGAACGGGUGAGUAAUACAUCGGAACAUGUCCUGUAGUGGGGGAUAGCCCGGCGAAAGCCGGAUUAAUACCGCAUACGAUCCACGGAUGAAAGCGGGGGACCUUCGGGCCUCGCGCUAUAGGGUUGGCCGAUGGCUGAUUAGCUAGUUGGUGGGGUAAAGGCCUACCAAGGCGACGAUCAGUAGCUGGUCUGAGAGGACGACCAGCCAACCUUGGACUGAGGCCACGCCCAGGCUCCUUCGGGAGGGAGCAGUGGGGAAUUUUGGACAAAGGGCGAAAGCCUGAUCCAGCAAUGCCGCGUGUGGGAAGAAGGCCUUCGGGUUGUAAAGCACUUUUGGCCGGAAAGAAAACCUUUACUCUAAUACAGGCGGGGGAUGACGGUACCGGAAGAAUAAGCACCGGCUAACUACGUG
rnacentral:rRNA from 1 species